AGCCCGGUCGUCUAGCGGCCAAAGGAAAACCCGGCUUGGGACCCCGUGGCCCGGGUUCGAAUCCCGGCCGGGCUACCA
rnacentral:tRNA from 2 species